rnacentral:rRNA from 1 species
AGAGUUUGAUCCUGGCUCAGAACGAACGCUGGCGGCGUGGAUUAGGCAUGCAAGUCGAACGAUCCUUCGGGAUAGUGGCAAAAGGGUGAGUAAUAUGUGGAUAAUUUGCCUCUUACUUGGGGAUAACAUUCCGAAAGGAGUGCUAAUACCGAAUGUGAUGCAUUAAACCAUGGUUUUAUGCAUUAAAGAUAGCCUCUACUUGUAAGCUGUCGGUAGGAGAUAAGUCCACAUCCUAUUAGUUUGUUGGUGGGGUAAAAGCCUACCAAGACGAUGAUGGGUAGCCGACCUGAGAGGGUGACCGGCCACACUGGGGCUGAGACACUGCCCAGACUCCUACGGGAGGCUGCAGUCGAGAAUCUUUCGCAAUGGGGGAAACCCUGACGAAGCGACGCCGCGUGAGCGAUGAAGGCCUUCGGGUUGUAAAGCUCUGUCAUCAGGGACGAAAGGUCUUUCUUUAAUAAAGAGAGGCUCUGACGGUACCUGGAGAGGAAGCCCCGGCUAACUCUGUGCCAGCAGCCGCGGUAAUACAGAGGGGGCGAGCGUUGUUCGGAAUCAUUGGGCGUAAAGGGCGAGUAGGUGGUUAGAUAAGUCGAGUGUGAAAGCCUCGGGCUCAACCCGAGAUCCGCGCUCGAAACUAUUUGACUUGAGUACAGAAGAAGAGAGUGGAAUUCUCAGUGUAGCGGUGAAAUGCGUAGAUAUUGAGAAGAACACCAGUGGCGAAAGCGGCUCUCUAUUCUGAUACUGACACUGAGGAGCGAAAGCUAGGGGAGCAAACAGGAUUAGAUACCCUGGUAGUCCUAGCUGUAAACGAUGUGCACUGGGUGUGGGGAGGAUCGACCCUCUUCGUGCCGAAGCUAACGCAUUAAGUGCACCGCCUGGGGAGUACGGCCGCAAGGCUAAAACUCAAAGGAAUUGACGGGGACCCGCACAAGCGGUGGAGCAUGUGGUUUAAUACGACCAACGCGUAGAACCUUACCAGGGCUUGACAUGUCUGUGAAAGUCCUAUGAAAGUAGGACCCCUCUUCGGAGCACUUACACAGGUGUUGCACGGCUGUCGUCAGCUCGUGUCGUGAGAUGUUGGGUUAAGUCCCGCAACGAGCGCAACCCUUAUUCCCAGUUGCCAGCGUGUAAUGACGGGGACUCUAGGAAGACUGCCUCGGUUAACGAGGAGGAAGGUGGGGAUGACGUCAAGUCAUUGUGGCCCUUACGCCCUGGGCUACACACGUGCUACAAUGGCCGGUACAAAGGGUCGCGAAACCGCGAGGUGGAGCCAAUCUCAAAAAACCGGUCUCAGUUCGGAUUGAAGUCUGCAAUUCGACUUCAUGAAGUUGGAAUCGCUAGUAAUGGUGCAUCAGCUACGGCGCCGUGAAUACGUUCCCGGGUCUUGUACACACCGCCCGUCACAUCAUGAAAGUCGACUGUACCCGAAGUCGCUGAACCAACCCUCUGGGAGGAAGGUGCCGAAGGUAUGGUUGAUAAUC